CGGGGCUCAAACUCAUGAACCAUGAGAUCAUGACCUAAGCUGAAGUUGGACACUUGACUGACUGAGCCACCCAGGUGCCCCUAAAUUUCUUUUAUUAACAACAAUGACAAACCCCAUUAAAGAGGAGCUGAACAUGUUAGAGAAAUCCCUGCCCCUUCACUUUGCCAUACUGUAACCUGUCUAUUCAUUUUCUAGUGCUGUUGAGCUAAAUAAGUUAGGACUGAGAAGGAGAUAGUAUGUCAUAAUGACUGGACGGACUUGUUUGAGAAUUAGCUGCAAAUAAUGUCACUGGAAAAACUUUUUUUUCUUCAUCCUAUCAAUUUUAAACUAACAAUAUAAGCUUACUCCAAGGUAAAUGUGUUAGCUUUUCACAUACCUUGCUGAGACAGUAGGUAUUCAGAUUUUUUUUUCCCAUUAGCACCAAAUUCCUUUUAUUGAACUUGGAGUCACAUGUUGAACAAUAUAUGUGGCUUCUCUUUUCUUUCCUACAGUGUAUUUUUCAGAUUAUCUUUUAACCUGACUACUAGAAAGUGAAGAGACACAAGGGUUAACAGUUUGGAUGAGGUUCUUUUUCAGAAAUUCCUUAAGCUCAACAGUGAGCACAUCUUUUGUUGAAUAACCUUAGAAUCACAUGCUGAGAGUGGCAGAGAGAGAGUGAAAUUCCAAACAGUGGAGCAUUUGAGAAGGCUGCCUAUCCUCAUGAAGGCCCUUCACCAUCGUGGGGAUUCUUGAGAUCAAGGUUUCUAAGUGGCUGCUGGCUGGCUCAGUCAGUAGAGCGUGUGACUCUUGAUCUUGGGGUCAUGAGUUCUGGCCCUAUGUUGGGCAUAGAGCUUACUUAAAAAAAAAAAGGUAUCUUACACAUUUAUGAGGUGGAUUUUUAACCUUAGAAUAAAGGUAGAAGUGACAAGUUAGACUUUAAGCA